CAACAGGUUGAUAUUCCUGUACUACCGAUAACCGUUUGAGAGAUGGGAUGACACAGUAGGAUAAGCUAAGCACACUGUUGGUUAUGUGUGCCCAAGCAUUGAGGCAGUCAGAGUAGGUAAAUCCGCUCUGAUAAUGCUGGGAUGUGAUGGGGAGCGAAAUUUAGUAGCGAAGUAGCUGAUUUCACACUGUCAAGAAAAGUCUCUAUCGAGGUUAAAGGUACCCGUACCGCAAACCGACACAGGUGGGUGAGGAGA
rnacentral:rRNA from 1 species